GUCCAGUAAAAUAAAUGCAAUUUCCAAGUAAUUUUUAAAAACUUUCCAUUAAUGCCUUAUUUUCAGGAAUCUGAUACCCAUAUGCAUGAAAGAGCGUAACUACUCACAACCUGUUUGGUUCAAUGUAAUGGCAUAGCCAUUACAACUCAAUUCUAUGGGCCCACCACAAACCCUUGUUUGGUUCAAUUGCUAUUUAGUUUUCUAUUCCCGCUCAUCACUGAAUAGAGGAUGAAUAACAUUCUUUGCCCCCCCUCUAAAUUGCCAUUCAAAGCACGGUAGGAAUGCUGAGAGAUCACUUUUUUUUCAUUUUUACCCUCAUUUUUCAUCGUCAUCCUUUCUGCAGUUUCAACUACAGCCUCUACGUUCAUUACUUUCUCCAUUUAUAAAGCCCUAAACACUAUUGCCCCUCACCAAUUUUUUCAAUCUUUUCUUCGUAGGAAUCGAGAUUGUAAAAAUUUCUCAAUUCAGGGCAAAAUCUUCAGUAAGGAAAAAAGUCCAAACUCAAUUGAAGAACACAUUAGCUUUUGGUUUUGAUUUCAAAACGAUUCAAGACAAGGUUUCUCUUCAUUUAAGACCUUGGCAUCAUUCAUUUCAAUUAUGGGUUCGAGCAGUUGAUAUUUAUAUGGGUUAUAAGUUCCCUUCUUUAUCUUCUUCUUCUUUUAAUUAUUUUUCUUGUUGUUAAUUUGAUAGUUUUUGAUUGUUGGGUAAUUGUUGAAAUGAUAGGUGUUUCAACUUCGAGUGAGUUUUGUGAAGGAUCCACAAAAGAAAUAAGCAAUGUGGGAUAAACAACAUGAGUUUUUUUUUUGUUUUAGUUUUUUUAGUUUCUUUACUAUUUGAUUCUUGUUGAUUGAUUUAGCUGUUCUUAGUUCUUUAAACUACGGUCUUCGCUUUUGUGUUCUUUCAGUUCAAUUAAAAUGGGUUUGUUUGUUUUUACUUUUUCUGUACUAUUUGAUUCUUAUUGAUUGCCCCUUUUGUUGAUUUUGUUGUUCUUAGCUCUUUGCAAAUUACAGUUUUGCUUUUGUGUUCUUUCAGUUCAAAUUUAAAUGGGUUUGUCUGUUUUUACUUUUUUUUGUACUGUUUGAUUCUUAUUGAUUGCUCAUUUUGUUGAUUUUACUGUUUUUAGCUAUUGGCAAACUGCACAACAUUUGCUUUUUGUGUUUUUUUCAACUCAAUUAAAGACUAAAUUUCACCUGUAUGUUCAAAUUUAUUUAUGUUCCUUUUGAAAUCCUGUUUUACUUAUUGAUAUUUUCCUUUUUUACUUUGGUACUAAAUACUUCUAUUGGUAAAUAUACCAUUUGAUGUUGUUCAACUUGUUUUAGAGAAGGAGUUUGGUCGAAGCAUGGGUGAAAAUUUUGAGAAUUUUGAUGUAAACCCUCUCGGUUCAGCACCGAUCGCAUAGGGUUCUCGGGUUCCGAAAAUAGGAUAAUGCUUACAAAAACCGAAUGGAUAUACCUUAACAUAUGUUCACUUCUGAAUUAGGUUCAUCGAGUAAGAUUGAGAAGUGAUAAGAACGAUGUUGUUAAGGUAAGUCCCCUUGAAGAUGAUUUUAAAGCCUCAUAUGUCUAUGUGAUUUUGUCCAUUCAAGUUUAUGGCAGGUGCAACAUUCGGGAAUCCAGGAUCUUAUGAUGACUGACAUUUGUAACUUGCAAGCAUUUGUACUGUACAUUCAAAAGACUAAUAUCAAAUUUGAUAUGUUUUCUAUUACUAAGGAAAUGGAAAAACAGGUAUUUGUAUUCACACUGUUGUUCCUUGCAAAACACAUCUAUCCUUCUUUUAUGUAUUUCUCAGAUUAUGUAAAUUGAGAGUACCGUACCACUUGGAUUUGGAUUUCUUUGUUCUUCUGCAUGUCAUUAAUUAUUUACCCUUUGUGUUGUCAAAAUCGGAUAAUAGUUUGACUUUCUAAGAGAAGCCAAUGCUAUGGAGAGAAUUCGUUGUUUCUUAUACGAGAAUAACAAAAAGACUCUGGUCCCGGUUCUGAGAGUGCUUUAGGGUUUGGUUACAAGGAAAGUUCAUUUUGUUGUAAUUCUUCGUAUUGCUUGUACAUGUUUGUCCUAGUGUCACAGGCCGCAAUUCAAAACUCGUGACCAUUGCACCAAAUGCAUCCAAUGGAGGUCUAUUGUUUAGAUGGGGAUCAUUUGGCCCGCAAGAAUUAGCCCGAUUCAAAAAGCUGUUGGAGAAGCCUGUCAAAUUAAAGCCUGGUUGCCCGAUAAUGAAGAUAUGACAACUUAGGCUAAUUUGGUAAUUAAGCUUAGAAGAUUGAGGGAAUCAUAUCUUGUAAAGAUUAGAUUAGAUUUGAUAUGAUAUAUCUUGUAAAUCCCUAAAAUCAAGGGAUAUGGUUAAUCUCGUUCGUCAAUGUAAACGUAUCUUGAUCGUCGGUUUUAGGGGAGCUCAACUAUAAAUAGAGAGCCUCCCCCUCAUUUGUACUCACUCCAUUCAUUGUUUCAUUAUUCUUUGUGAAUAAGAGAAUAUUGAGAGCAUUUACUCAAA